rnacentral:lncRNA from 1 species
UUUGGAAUCAGCUGGGGAGGCCAUGGCUUUAGGGCCAAUAGGAUGUCACCUUCAGUAGGGGUGGAGCCAAGUUUUGGAACGAAAGAAAGGGUGUGUUUUCGUGGGAACUGGGAAGUUUUGAUCCCUGUCCUGAGAAAUUUCAGGCUUAUUUCAUUUCAUGUGCACCAACCCAUAGGAUCUCAUUCCUGCUGCCGCUCUCUUUGAGAUUGUUCCUGCCCUGCCCACAGUGCUUCCGGCCACCAUUUUCCAAGCUGAAUGCCGACAACCUAAUUUACGACAGUGCUUUGGGAACAAGUGUGCUGUUCAAAACCAAGGUUGAAAAUCAAGAGUUUUGGCUCGGCGAACGCUUCGUCUUAAGGAUAUGAAUUUAGAUGACACACAGAUCAGCAGAGAGACUGGAAAAUGAAGCAUACCUUGAAAUUCUGAUAAACAUUCUCUUCUGCCCAGAACUUCCUACUCCUUCACAUCCAGCAGACAGC